rnacentral:rRNA from 1 species
AUAGGGGAUUUGAAUGAAAUAUUGUACUCGUCCGAGAAAGGAGGGAAUGCAAGACCCAUGUCGUACAUGACAGCGUUCAGGGAAUGUCUGUCCGGUUGUUCGCUAGAAGACCUUGGAUAUAUUGGAAAUAAAUUCACAUGGAAAAUAGGAGGCACACGAGAAAGAUUAGACAGAGCUAUAGGGAAUGAGGGUUGGGCCAGUAAGUUUCCAGAUGCUAGUGUCCACCAUUUGGCAAUGGGUGGAUCAGACCACCGUCCAAUUUUGAUCGAUACAGCCACAUACACAAUUCCUCCAGUUGGUGGGGGUCGACGGCAGAGAUGGUUUGAGGGGAAAUGGCUAAGGGAGGAGGAAGUGGGUGAUAUGGUUGCAGCGGCGUGGGAACAUUAUCCGCCAAACGCGCCAAUCAUGGCGAAACUUGAAGCAGUACAUAACGAGUUGCAUGAAUGGGACAUAAAUACUCUGAAGGCACCGCACGAGAAAAUUAAAGACUUGACACAGGAACUUGACCACCUACUGGCGGGACCUAUGGAUGAGCAGUCAACUCAUUGA